rnacentral:rRNA from 1 species
AUUGAACGCUGGCGGCAGGCCUAACACAUGCAAGUCGAACGAGUGGCGGACGGGUGAGUAAUGUCUGGGAAACUGCCCGAUAGAGAGGGAUAAGUAACGGAAACCGUAGCUAAUACCGCAAACCAUCACAUGUGCCCAGAUGGGAUUAGCUGGUAGGUGAGGUAAAGGCUCACCUAGGCGACGAACCCUAGCUGGUCUGAGAGGAUGACCAGCCACACUGGAACUGAGACACGGUCCAGACUCCUACGGGAGGCAGCAGUGGGGAAUAUUGCGCAAUGGGCGAAAGCCUGAUGCAGCCAUGCCGCGUGUAUGAAGAAGGCCUUCGGGUUGUAAAGUACUUUCAGCGUGGAGGCGUUACCCGCAGAAGAAGCACCGGCUAACUCCGUGCCAGCAGCCGCGGUAAUAC